rnacentral:rRNA from 1 species
AUAAUAAUUAGUUUCUUAAUUGGGAACUAGAAUGAAUGAUUGAAUGAGAUAUAAUCUUUUUUUUUUUAAGUUUUAUAAAAUUUAAAUUUUUGGUUAAAAAGCUAAAAUUUUUUAAAAAGACGAGAAGACCCUAUAGAUUUUUAUUUAAGCUUAAUAAUUUAUUAUUUGGGUUAAAUUUUAUUGGGGGGAUAAAAAAAUUUAAAAAACUUUUUGAGAUUUUGACAUUAAUAUAUGAAAAUUUAUUAUGAACUGUAAUUUAAUUGAAUAGUUACAAAUAAAGAUUAAAAUACCUUAGGGAUAACAGCGUAAUUUUAAUUUUAAGAUCAUAUUAAAAUUAAAGAUUGC